rnacentral:ncRNA from 2 species
UGGGCUUCAUGGCCCGGACGUUCGCGCGUACAAUGCGCCCGAUACGAAGCGCGGAAGCCGGUGAGAAUCCGGCGCGGUCGCGCCACUGUAACCGCGGAUCCCGCAUCCCGGAAGUCAGACCUGCCUUCGUUGACCGUCCAUU